AUUGAACGCUGGCGGCAUGCCUUAUACAUGCAAGUCGAACGGCAGCACGGGAGCAAUCCUGGUGGCGAGUGGCGAACGGGUGAGUAAAGUAUCGGAACGUGCCCAGUCGUGGGGGAUGACGUAGCGCAAGUUACGCAAAUACCCCAUAGCAUCUUAGGAUGAAAGCGGGGGAUCGCAAGAGCUCGAGCGAUUGGAGCGGCGGAUAGCAGAUUAGGUAGUUGGCGGGGUAAAGGCUCACCAAGCCGACGAUCUGUAGCUGGUCUGAGAGGACGACCAGCCACACUGGGACUGAGACACGGCCCAGACUCCUACGGGAGGCAGCAGUGAGGAAUUUUGGACAAUGGGCGAAAGCCUGAUCCAGCCAUGCCGCGUGCAGGAUGAAGGCCUUCGGGUUGUAAACUGCUUUUGUACGGAGCGAAAAGGUUUGGCCUAAUAAGCUGAGCUCAUGACGGUACCGUAAGAAUAAGCACCGGCUAACUACGUGCCAGCCGCCGCAGUAA
rnacentral:rRNA from 1 species